GUGCCCUUUUAUUAAGGAGUAUGCCCUUUUGUUAACCAAUUUCACCCCUUGCCCUCAGCAACUUCCGGCAUCCCUGGGAAGCAUUAAGAAUUUACAGAUAACUGGUCGCGUGAUUGCCAACUCUCAUCCUCGUUUUACACUGCCACUGGACUUUGACUUUUCGGCCAGCUUUCCCUUACUUUCCCUUUCACUUGCGCAUCUCAUUCGGGAACAAGCAAUGGAAUGUGCGGAUAUAAAGCUUGUGUAUGACACUCCGUCUACUGUAAGAGGAUUACAGCCCUUCCCUUGAUAAAAAAAUACAUUUAUCUAGACGUUUCUUUUGAUAACCUUCCCUACUUUACGGUAAGCAUAAUGUACACAAGGAUUACGACGGAGGUCCUCAAUGACUAGCAAUAUUUUACAAGCCUAUAUGGAAAGCAGACCUAUCAUAAUAGAUGGAUCGCCAUCGGCCUUCUUGAAGCAGCGUGCGUACGAUUUGUACGUUUCUGAAAAUAUUGAUAGUUAUGGAUGACCCUCAGCUAAUUGGAUUUUCAAAUCAUUUGUAACAGAUGUGGAACAUUAGCUUGCCAUUCUCUCAGUGACAAAAUUUAGACAAGUUAAAUCAAUUUUCACAUGCAAAGCCUUUGGACAAGUCUCUUUAUUUUCAUUUUGGAAACUGGUUUAUCACAUGUGAUGCCUCAGACGACUAUCAGACCUGGCGUCUUUGAAGUCACAUGAUAUACCUGAUCCGCCUAUAUAUAUCAUUGAGUGAUCAAGACACGAGCAAUCAAUUAUUCAAUUAACUCAACACAACACGUCUACCGUGAGAUUCCUCACUUUUUUUCUCUUUUUCUCAGUAGGAUUACAAAUAAGACAUUUGCAUACCAAUUUGACUGAAUAAAUAAAAAAAAAAACAGAAACUCGCGCGAUUUACAAUUUAACACCUUUUUUUGUGAAACGACGAUCGGAUAACAAAUUGGUUUCCUCCUUCAGAAUGUAUUUUCUGCUACUGCUAACCGUACUUAUGUUUAUUGUCAAUUAUUUUAUUUAUAUUCUAUUUUUAUUUCUACAAUACUUUUUUUAACUGUGAAAUGGGAAAGAUUCAUCAACUUGUAAGUUGUAAAAUGUAUCUUUGUUCACAGAAAUGCAUUUGGGACGAUACUUUCGUCGCUCAGGCUCCAUACAUGAACUAUACAGCAGUGUAAAAAUGCUUUAGUAAAAACAAACCACAAGUACAUCUAUUUCUUGUCCCACAAGUGAUCAUAAUGUUGAGAAUUGUGGCAAUACUAAUUAAUUAGGUUAAUUUACAUAUUUAGUAAACAAACUGUCAAUCAAAUGCAUGUGUCAUAGGUUAAGUAAGGUGUAUCAAAUUUAUGGCUAGUGUGAAGUGAUAGUGAUUGAGACUGUGAAUUUCGGGUUAGUGAUUUAUAAAGUGAUUCUAUAGAAAAAACAAACUAUAAACUCCAACGGCAUUCCCAAUGAUAAAAUAAUAAAUACUGUUUACUUCAACCAACUUUCUUUUCACUAACUUGUGUGUCCUUUCUACUGUACAAUAAAAGUGAAAGUAAUAAAAUCACGUGACACACAUGAAGUGAUAUCGAGCUGAGAUGAGUGGAAGGAUACGUAUUCCAGCAUAAUUCGAUUACACCAAGUAUCAAGAUCCUGAAAAAAAAACAAGAAGAAAGGUCAAGAAAUCGCAGCAGGAGCCCAUCCCCGGAUGUUAUUGAAGUUAUGUAUUACAUAUGAG
rnacentral:lncRNA from 1 species